UACGUAGGUGGCGAGCGUUGUCCGGAUUUACUGGGCGUAAAGGGAGCGUAGGCGGACUUUUAAGUGAGAUGUGAAAUACUCGGGCUCAACUUGAGUGCUGCAUUUCAAACUGGAAGUCUAGAGUGCAGGAGAGGAGAAUGGAAUUCCUAGUGUAGCGGUGAAAUGCGUAGAGAUUAGGAAGAACACCAGUGGCGAAGGCGAUUCUCCGGACUGUGACUGACGCUGAGGCUCGAAAGCGUGGGGAGCAAACAGG
rnacentral:rRNA from 1 species